UUUUGUUUUCCAAAUAUCAUGCUUUUUUUUGUCGAACAAAAAUGGGAUUUUUCUCUAUAUCAUCAUACAUUUUAGAAUUCCUAUCCAAAUCUUGUUUGGCUAAACUAGUCUUCUCUGUUAAGGUGUGAUAAAUUUGCAAAUCGUAUCUCUUUCUAUAAUUGCCUACAUAUAUUUGGUGAGAUAUCAUCAUUGUAUACAAAGUCUCCAGAGUAGAAUCAUUGUUUUACCACAGGCCGCACCUAUUAUCUGAUUUGAAGCCCAUCCAUAUUUGCUUCGAGCCUAGUGACACCAAAUUGGACCAGUAUCCUUAGGACCUCAAGAAUGACCACUUCCCGCUGCACUUAGAUGUCCUCCAUGAGCUUUUCGAAGCUUCUACCACUACCAAAUAGGAUAUGGAAAUUUUGUAGCCUCUCUAAACACUAAACAGUCCCAUACUUGAACUUGCGAAUGCAAACGUUGCAAUAUCUUACAUCCCUAUACAACUUUGGCUUACUGUGGCUUCGCCAAGAGAAUGCCGGUUCGAUUCAAUACCUUACGAGUCCAUGACCCAGACGGUUCUAUUGAACCGACCACAUCUCCGCAUAGCUUCGCCCGGGCCAAACCGUGCCACCCACUAAAAUAAAGCCGGCUCACCAAACCCAACCCAAACCCAGUGGUAAAAUGAACUAUAUCCCAAUCCUUUCAUUCCGAUAUAUUUACAGUCUUGGCUUUCUCUUGUUCGAUCUCACAUUUAUUCUGGCGUUUCUUCUGCUUUGAUUUUCGAACAGCAUGAAAUCUAUUCAUGGAGCCUCAGCUAUCUGGUUAUGCUUUUGAUCAAAGAGACUUAUUUUCGGUAUUGAUUUUAUAUUUUAUAACUCGGUGUUACUUCAUUGAUUUUUUGUUGCUCCCAAUGCAUAUUUGAUAGCAGUACUAGCGUAGUAUCAUACUAUGUAGUCAAAUAUAAAAGGAAUUAUCAUUGGAAAGAGGAACAAUCUCCGAGGCAUGUGAAGAGAGAAUUUAUUAUGUACUUUGGAUUCUUGUCCUUCUUACUUGGUUUGUGUUGCAGUCCAUGAUGCAUCUGAGCUCCAGCCAUCUACCUGCUUGUGGGACAACCCUGUUCACCAUCCCUUUUCCAUGUGGAUUUGAAAGCUUUACGGCUCCAGAGUCCAGAGAUAAGGGGAUAGAUUUUAUGCAUCCAAUUUGAGGAUCUUGGAGGAAGAUAUUAGUGCUCUAACUUUAUGAUAGGUCUUCAUGUAUCAGCAGGAACUACGUUUCGUUCGUUGGCGUGUACUUAAUGGUUGUUUCACCCAAAUACUGCUUUUAUAAGACCAAAUAAAUUGGAAUUCUGUAUGUUGGUUAUGAACUUAUGCAAUGAUACGAUGAAUAUGAUGGUAUUUCUUUUUAUAUUCUAAU